rnacentral:sRNA from 1 species
UGAUUGUAAGAUGCAAGUCUGAAAAUA